GAUGAAGAACGCAGCGAAAAGCGAUAAGUAAUGUGAAUUGCAGAAUUCAGUGAAUCAUCGAAUCUUUGAACGCACCUUGCGCUCUCUGGUAUUCCGGAGAGCAUGCCUGUUUGAGUAUCAUGAAAUCUCAACCAUUAGGGUUUCUUAAUGGCUUGGAUUUGGGCGUUGCCAGUUGCCUGGCUCGCCUUAAAAGAGUUAGCGUGUUUAACUUGUCAUAUCUGGCGUAAUAAGUUUCGCUGGUGUACGACUUGAGAAGUGCGCUUCUAAUCGUCCUCGGACAAUUCUUGAACUCUGGUCUCAAAUCAGGUAGGACUACCCGCUGAACUUAAGCAUAUCAAUAAGCGGAGGA
rnacentral:misc_RNA from 1 species